GCUUGGAAGAUUUCUGGAAAACUCUGAAAAUAUUUUAGGACAUUUUGAAGAACAUUCAUUUGCACACAAUGAUUGAUUAAAUUGAAGAGAAGCAACUCGUUAAUGAUGAAGCACAUUCUCAUUUCUUUUAUCUAUAAGCAAGCACAUAGCACACGGCCUUUCCUUGAUUGAAGAAAAUUAUGAAGACAUGGGACAUGCUGGGGGAACCACUCACGGUUAUUUCUAUGAAUCAUAAUCAAUGAAUAUUAAAUGAAUUGGAGAUGCACGGCAAACCAUCCCAUGUAAUUCUUGAAAGUUAUGAAGCAUAAUGGAGGGGCACAUACAACAUCUCUCACGUGUUUGGAAGAUAGCAAGUUGCUGGAAAAUUCAUUUGCCAAGAGAUUAUCAAAGCUUGAAGUCAAAGUGGGAGCCACCUCCUUGGUGAAGAAGCAUUCACGGCAAAACAAAUGAAGAGUAUUGUUUAUUUUAAGUGGGAGACAACAUGUAGGGCCACCAUUGGAGGAGAAACCAAAUUGGCUUGAAAGAUGUAGAGACAUCACACGGUCCCAUAGGGUCACACGUCCAGCACAAUUGAUUGAAAGGAGUGGAAGAAAAGCUUUGCUAAAGAUUAAACAUUCUUGGCUUGGUUUUGGAGAAAGAGGCUGUAACGGAAAGGAAGAUGGAACCAGCCACUUGUUGAUUGGAGAAGAGAAGCCAGCAAGCGGUGCAGCUCCGUCCAUGCAUCCAGCCAUCUCCACCAGUCCAGCACUUAGCAUGUCACGGUAUUCCAGCAGUGUAGUAGGAGCUGUGAGCUGAAGACAAGCCAACGAAAGAGUGAAGAGCAACUGAUCCAAAGCCAGCACCUUGAGAGGAAGAAAUUCACGGUGGUGCAGCAACCCAGCAAGUUUCACAGUGGCUGUUGGAAGAAAAGGAAGAAGCUGCAGCUACCUACACGGUCCAGCCAUCUCCAAUCCAGUGGGGGAGAUGCUUCCCUGUCCAGCAAGUCGGCAGCAGCACUCAACCAGCAACAAACGUCCAGGAGCUUUCCAGUGGUAACAACAUCACUCACGGCUGGAGGCAGCAGCGGGGAAGGAGAUGCGUCCAGCUCCAUCACGGUCCAAUAUCCAGCAAGUCUAGACAGUAGUGGCUUCUUGGACAGCAGCGUUCAAACAUAAACAAGCUGGAUAUGUAACGGCUGGAAUAAAAGAGCAGCCAGCUUUUAUGAAGAGUCCAACACGUUGAGCUGGAAGCAUGGCAGUGCACGGUGGCUGCUGGAAUUGAAGAAAGGAAGCACGCUGGAAGAAAUGCCUCAAAGCUGCUGUCACGCCACUACAAAAAAAAUGGUAUUUAAGGGAGGUUAUUUUGCGGAGGUUAUAAAAACCCUCCGCAAAUUAAUAUGAUUUAAUUUGGUUCUAUUGAAUUGUGAAAGGCCUAAUGAUAGCGGAAGUUUUAAGUUCUUUUUAAAGAGGUUCAUAACUAACCAAAUUAUAAUACAUUUUUCUUUUUAUUUUUUUUCGUUUUUCAGUCUUUUUCUUCCAAAAUUUUAUCUUACUUUAUUUUUUCUCCAAAUUCCUAAACCUAAACUUAACUUCAUCAAACACUUCCUUUUUCUCAUGUAUCAUCUACACUCUUUGAGCCGUCUUCCCGUCACAGCCAUUCUCGACCAGAAAAAGCGUAAUGACGACCCACUGUAAAGUGCUGAGAAGGUGAUCUUGUAGAGGAGCUUGAUGUCGCCUAUCAUGAAGGUGGUGAGGAGUUCGGGGUCGACGUUGGACUAGACGAGGGAGUCGUAGACUUGGGAGACGCAUAUACAGUCAAAGGGGUUUUCAGUUCUAUGUUUUCCAUUUUUGAUUCAAAACUCAAAUCUUAAAACUCUUCCCCAAACCUCUCUUUUAGGUUUAGGUUUCAUGUUUCAGAGGCUUUACCUUUCACUAGUAUCCUCAAAUUCGUGAAAUCAUAAAACCCUAAUCGAAGAUGAGACAGUUCUCAAACGCCUCUGCACUUAUCGCGGCCACAACGGAUAUUCUGGUUAACUCAUAACAGGGAGUGGGGAUUAUUGCUGCCUUGUAUGUGUUUGAUGAAAUUCCUAGGUUAAGUGCAAUACAUUUUUGUUGCCCACCAUCGUUCUUCUAAUAAGAAAGGCGUUUUUAUAGUGUAAUUAGUGCUUUGUAUGCAAAUUUUGAACAAUACUACACCAUAUUUUGGAAGUAGUGGUUGAUGGGUCAGUAAGGGAUGUAUGGAUCCCUCUUAAAAGAGUGCGUUCUGGAGAAUUAAGACUUCGAAUAUCAAUUAGAGUGGAUGACCAAGAAGGACCGAAGGGUUCGGGUUUUGGCUCAAGCAAUGGUUGGAUUGAACUUGUCCUGGGAAGGGAUUGUUAUUGUCUAUCUCAAAGGCAUAAGUGAUCCAUAUGUGAGGGUACACUACGAAAACUUUAAGAAACAGACAAAGUUUGGAAUACUCACAGGUUACUCUAGCUGCCUAUAUUGAACUUUUGUGCACUUUACUUAGUGCUGGAGUCCAGGCUAAUGCAAAAAGAUACGGUCCAGUUAUAUCCACCAUUCCUCAGCAGCUAUCCAGAUUUUAGUUUAAAAUGAUCACUAAUUGAACGUAAAUUUGAAGCUCACAUGCUGAUAAAUCAAGGUGAUAAAGAAGUGCCUUUUGUUCAUGUCUGUUGCUUCUGCCCUCCUCAGGUUGCCAGUAUUGAUGUGGAAAGGGGCAUUGGUUUUCGUUGCAAGUUUUUCUGGUGAAAGGCAUUGAAGGGCAAAAAGUAUGCAUUUGAAAUUCAAAUAUUGGAAGUUGUUGAUACAAAUGAGUUGGAGUUUUCUUUGAGUACAAGAGGAUUAUCUCAUGCUAGGGGGUUUAUGAUGUGUUUUUAGGAUAUAAUUAUAUUUAGUCUAUUAUGUAUUUUUGACAAUGUUAGAGUUUUUGGUCAAUCUUGUAACUUUAUUUAAAUAUUAUGUAUUUUUUUUGUAUUUACAUUGUAAUUAUUAAUGAAUGUAUGUUAUUUUAAAUCAUCAAUGAAAUUAAUUUUGAAUUA